AGUGAACGCUGGCGGUAGGCCUAACACAUGCAAGUCGAACGGCAGCACAGUAAGAGCUUGCUCUUACGGGUGGCGAGUGGCGGACGGGUGAGGAAUACAUCGGAAUCUACUUUUUCGUGGGGGAUAACGUAGGGAAACUUACGCUAAUACCGCAUACGACCUACGGGUGAAAGCAGGGGAUCUUCGGACCUUGCGCGAUUGAAUGAGCCGAUGUCCGAUUAGCUAGUUGGCGGGGUAAAGGCCCACCAAGGCGACGAUCCGUAGCUGGUCUGAGAGGAUGAUCAGCCAUACUGGAACUGAGACACGGUCCAGACUCCUACGGGAGGCAGCAGUGGGGAAUAUUGGACAAUGGGCGCAAGCCUGAUCCAGCCAUACCGCGUGGGUGAAGAAGGCCUUCGGGUUGUAAAGCCCUUUUGUUGGGAAAGAAAAGCAGCAGGUUAAUACCCCGCUGUUCUGACGGUACCCAAAGAAUAAGCACCGGCUAACUUCGUG
rnacentral:rRNA from 1 species